rnacentral:rRNA from 1 species
UCGCGAGAAGUCCAUUGAACCUUAUCAUUUAGAGGAAGGAGAAGCUCGCUAACAAGGUUUUCCGUASGCUGAACCUGCGGAAGGAUCAUUGUCGUGACCCUGACCAAAACAGACCGCGAACGCGUCAUCCAUGCCGCCGCGCGACGGGGCGCUCCCCCGUCGCUCGGCCUAGGCCCCCGACCUCCGUCGGGAGGGGAGGGGCCGCAACAGAACCCACGGCGCCGAACGGCGUCAAGGAACACCAUGUUAUUGCCUASCGCGGGUCGGCGGCCGGCCUGCCGGCCGCCCCCAGCUAGCGAUGCUAUCUAUUAAUCCACACGACUCUCGGCAACGGAUAUCUCGGCUCUCGCAUCGAUGAAGAACGUAGCAAAAUGCGAUACCUGGUGUGAAUUGCAGAAUCCCGCGAACCAUCGAGUUUUUGAACGCAAGUUGCGCCCGAGGCCUUCUGGCCGAGGGCACGCCUGCCUGGGCGUCACGCCAAAAGACGCUCCCCAACCCACCCAUCGUGGGAGGGACGCGGCGUUUGGCCCCCCGCGCCGCAGGGCGCGGUGGGCCGAAGAUGGGGCUGCCGGCGUACCGUGCCGGGCACAGCACUUGGUGGGCGACACGAGUUGUUCUCGGUGCAGCGCCCCGGCACGCAGCCGGCGCGGUGGCCCAGCGGACCCAACCGACCGAAGCGCGCGCCGCUYGGACCGCGACCCCAGGUCAGGCGGGACUACCCGCUGAGUUUAAGCAUAUAAAUAAGCGGAGGAGAAGAAACUUACCAAGGAUUCCCCUAGUAACGGCGAGCGAACCGGGAGCAGCCC